rnacentral:rRNA from 1 species
AUAUUGCACAAUGGGGGAAACCCUGAUGCAGCAACGCCGCGUGAGGGAAGACGGUUUUCGGAUUGUAAACCUCUGUCCUUAGUGACGAUAAUGACGGUAGCUAAGGAGGAAGCCACGGCUAACUACGUGCCAGCAGCCGCGGUAAUACGUAGGUGGCAAGCGUUGUCCGGAAUUACUGGGUGUAAAGGGAGCGUAGGCGGGAAGGCAAGUCAGAUGUGAAAUCCACAGGCUUAACCUGUGGCGUGCAUUUGAAACUGUUUUUCUUGAGUGAAGUAGAGGCAGGCGGAAGUCCGAGUGUAGCGGUGAAAUGCGUAGAUAUUCGGAGGAACACCAGUGGCGAAGGCGGCCUGCUGGGCUUUUACUGACGCUGAGGCUCGAAAGCAUGGGUAGCAAACAG